rnacentral:rRNA from 1 species
AGAGUUUGAUCCUGGCUCAGGAUGAACGCUAGCGACAGGCUUAACACAUGCAAGUCGAGGGGCAGCGAGGGAGUGGCAACACUUCCGUCGGCGACCGGCGCACGGGUGAGUAACGCGUAUGCAACCUACCCUUCACAGGGGGAUAACCGGGAGAAAUUCCGACUAAUACCGCAUACGUCCUCCGGGGGCAUCCCCGGGGGAUGAAAGAAUUAUCGGUGAAGGAUGGGCAUGCGUGAUAUUAGGUAGUUGGCGGGGCAACGGCCCACCAAGCCCACGAUAUCUAGGGGUUCUGAGAGGAAGGUCCCCCACAUUGGUACUGAGACACGGACCAAACUCCUACGGGAGGCAGCAGUGAGGAAUAUUGGUCAAUGGACGAGAGUCUGAACCAGCCAAGUCGCGUGAAGGAAGACGGAUCUAUGGUUUGUAAACUUCUUUAGUGCGGGAACAAAGCGGCGUCGUGACGCCUGAUGAGUGUACCGCAAGAAUAAGCAUCGGCUAACUCCGUGCCAGCAGCCGCGGUAAUACGGAGGAUGCGAGCGUUAUCCGGAUUUAUUGGGUUUAAAGGGAGCGCAGGCUGCGAGGCAAGUCAGCGGUCAAAUGUCGGGGCUCAACCCCGGCCUGCCGUUGAAACUGUCCUGCUAGAGUUCGAGUGAGGUAUGCGGAAUGCGUUGUGUAGCGGUGAAAUGCAUAGAUAUGACGCAGAACUCCGAUUGCGAAGGCAGCAUACCAACUCGCGACUGACGCUGAGGCUCGAAAGCGUGGGUAUCGAACAGGAUUAGAUACCCUGGUAGUCCACGCAGUAAACGAUGAAUACUAACUGUUCGGAGGGCGACCUCUGAGUGGUAAAGCGAAAGCGUUAAGUAUUCCACCUGGGGAGUACGCCGGCAACGGUGAAACUCAAAGGAAUUGACGGGGGCCCGCACAAGCGGAGGAACAUGUGGUUUAA